CCUACGGGAGGCAGCAGUGGGGAAUAUUGGACAAUGGGGGGAACCCUGAUCCAGCGACGCCGCGUGAGUGAAGCAGUACUUCGGUAUGUAAAGCUCUAUCAGCAGGGAAGAAAAUGACGGUACCUGACUAAGAAGCCCCGGCUAACUACGUGCCAGCAGCCGCGGUAAUACGUAGGGGGCAAGCGUUAUCCGGAUUUACUGGGUGUAAAGGGGGCGUAGACGGUGCAGCAAGUCAGAUGUGAAAGGUCGGGGCCCAACCCCGGGACUGCAUUGGAAACUGUGUGACUGGAGUGCAGGAGAGGUAGGCGGAAUUCCUGGUGUAGCGGUGAAAUGCGUAGAUAUCAGGAGGAACACCAGUGGCGAAGGCAGCUUACUGGACUGUAACUGACGUUGAGGCUCGAAAGCGUGGGGAGCAAACAGGAUUAGAUACCCGAGUAGUC
rnacentral:rRNA from 1 species